GCUCAGAACGGAGACUGACGGUCUGGUAAUCCGCAGGUCGUAGGUUCGAGCCCUACUGGGGGCA
rnacentral:tRNA from 1 species